GAAAAUAUUACUUCGUAUUAUCUAAAAUUAUAAAGCAGAUGGCAAGCUAUCAAACAAUAAAUUCUUCACCUGCAGUGAAGUUUCAUUGCAAUUUUUUAGGCAUAAAAGUAAAUCAUAUAUUUUCAGGGAAAAACAACACAUUUCUAUUCUCUUGUAUAGAUGUUACCGUCCAAAAUACAAAGCCAACUCUUCUAAGCUCCUGGAAUACCCUUUCCUUAAUAAAAAGGAUGCCAAAACUUUCAGCUAUCGGACCACCCCUAAAACAUUUGCUGUUUUAGGUGAAACCUUGGAGUCGGAUUUGUCCUCAGAAAACAAUUUUGUUGUCGCAUCACAAGUCUUUAGUUUCUCGCAUCACAAAACGCCAAAGAUCUCUGUCAGUCUUGAAUUUGCACUUUACAGGUAUAGGUAACUUCUUCAAUUGCAAAUAUCAUCUGACGCCACCAAGCGGCAACUGGGCAACUGAACAACGAUCAAGUAUAUUGUGUUAGUUACGAACACUUACGUGACUGUUUCAUGUCAUUUACCUGGCACCAAUCAUCAUGUUUCUUAUAUCAUAAUAAGGAUUAUGAUGGAGCAGGGAACAUUGAAGAACCAGCAGUUAAAGAGCAAUAACACUGCAGGAGAUCAACUACACUGUAGCUAAAUCAUGCAAAGCCAUCUCAUUCCAGGAAUAAGAAAACAUACUCGUGAAGACGCUUUUCUUGAUGGAGAGCCAAGGCAUGUAACAGUUGCAAGCCAUCUCCAAGUAGAGUCUUCCAGUGAUAAAGUGCACCACCAUAACACCAGGCACUAGCCCAGAAAUGAACUAGAGCCCAUCAUUUAUCGGAUAAUUUAUGGCUCCAUACCAACAAAUGCAUGCUUGUAUUUCCUCCGAAAGAAAUUCAAAUGUUAUUGCUAAUUCUCAUUGUUGACAAAUAGCAUGGGUGAGUCUGGUCAUCCCACCAUAGACAUUAUAAACACCAUAUAAUAACCAACAGAAAUCAAGUUGUAGAAGUUUAUCCAGAAGACUUGAUGAUGGUCAUGUAUACUCCUGUCCCUUUGCUCCAUCUAUGCCAAAUCAUCCAUUAACUCUUGCCUUGCUUAUACAUUAUGACAGACUCCGCCCACCUUUCUGUCUCCUUCUAGUGCUAUUCAAGUAUGCUGACCAGUAUCCACUAAUACCAUCUUAACCAAAGCACUCAACUUUCCAUCACGACCAGUGGGAAAAUAAAUCCAUUGCCACAAAAUGUUGCAAAAGAUCCUUGCAAACCAUAAGAACUAAAGUCCUGGAAACUUAUCUGCAAAUCAAAAUUUCAGGAUCCACUAAAACCAUUUUCAAUCAGUUUAUGUGGAUCCAAACUUGUCUUCCUGUUAGGUGUACUUCUACGAAAAUAGUCAUAUGUAAUAUACAUAAGGGAGUCCAGAAACAGGCUCUUUGCAGAGGUUGCUCUUAAUAGUUCUACUUUGUUUUGCAACUUAAGGUAGGCUUUAUCCAUAAUUUUAUACGAAACUUUGUCGAAAGCAAAGGAGAUCUCGCUUAACUUCUGACCCCAAAUUAAAGUUUUCUCAGGCAUCCCUUGCUUGCAAAAGUGAGACAGUAGUAAAUUGGUUGUAACAACAUUUGGAACAAAAGCCAUCUUAAGCAAUUUCGCAGUUAAAAUCAUAGCACGAUCCAGUAUGUCAGUACAAACAAUAUUCAUCAUGGUGUUGUAUGUUACCGUGUCUGGGACAACACCCACUGAAAUAAGGUCAUCCAGUAUCAUCACAGCCUUACUUGUUUUUCGAGUACUAUAAAGUCCAUGAAUACAUAUAUUAUAGGUGGUGAUAUCUGGGCCCCAUCCACUAGCAUACAUUUUAUUCAAAAACUCAUCCGCACCAACCAUGUCAAAUGCUUUACAGUACCCACCAAUCAAUGUGUUAUAAGUGACAAUAUCAGGGGUUAGCCCAAUACGAUGCAUGUCUGCAAAGACUUCAAUUGCAGACUUCAUUCUGCCCUCUUUACAAAAUCCAUUAAUGAUGAUAUUGAUUGUAAAAAUAUCAGGAAGCAGACCCUUUUGCCUCAUCUCCCUCUCCAGCUUCAAUGCUUCAUGAAGCUUACCACAGUUGCAAAAUCCAUGGAUCAACGAGUUAUAUGCAUAAUUGUUAGCCACAAACCCUUUCCUUGACAUAUCUAAAAAUACGUCAUAUGCCUCCUCCACUAGACCAGCUUUGGAAAGGCCAUCAAUAAAUGCUGAGAUGGCAACAGCAUCAGGAUAUAUCCCCCUGGCUUCCAUCUCAUACCACAGACUAUGUGCCGCAAUAAUAUCCCCCGCCUUGAAGUACCCAUCCAAAAGCACUGUAAAAGCCACUUUAUUUAUGGGAAAGCAUUUCUCUAUCAUCUUAUACAAGAGUUCCCGUGCUUCUUGCAGUCUCCCAUUCUUGGAUAAACCCAGAAGCAAAGAACUGCAAGUUGAAGAUGAGGGAACUAGACCAAACAUAACCAUGACUUUAUAUGCUUUAUUGGCAUUCUCUUCUAAUCCUGCCUGGCUAUAAGCUGCAAUUACUGAAUUAAAAGCAAUUACACUUAGAGGUAUUCCUUUCUCAAGCAUAUCCUCUAAAAAUUCCAUGGCCUCAUCCAACCGACCAGCCCAACACAACCCCGCAACAGAAAUAUCAUAUAAUGAACAAUCUGGAACCAAACCUCGAACUGAUAAAUCCCUCAACAACCUGAGACUAUCCUCUUCUCUCCCAUACUUGCAAUGCCCUGCAAACAAUAUAUUAAAAGUUGUGCCAUCAGGAGCUAUACCCCUGUUCCUCAUUUCUUCAUACAGGAUGUUUGCUUGACCAACGUCCCUUGCCUUAACAUAUCCAUUCAUUAGAGUGUUAUACAUUCCAACAUUUGGAGAAACACCCACCUCUUGGAUCUCGUCAAAAAUCUUCCUUGCUUCCUUCACAUUUCCCUGUUUGCAGAAUGCGUUUAUUACAGUGUUGAAUGUAAUUAAGCUCGGUUUACAACCAUUCUUAAUCAUCAAAUGCACCAACCCAAGAGCAUCUGAAGUCCUUCCACUCAUACAAUAAGCACUAAUCAAAAUGUUAUAUGUAUAAACAUCUGGUUCACAACUAAACUUUUGCAUAACAUAUAACAAACUCUCACCAAUCCUGGCAUAUCCUUUUCGACAAAAAGAAAGAAUCAUUACAUUGAAAUUACUAUUGCAAGGGCGAGGACCUUCACGAAUCAUGCCCCUCAAAAGCUUCCAAACACUACCAUAAUCACCCACUCUAAGCAACAACCUGAAAAGAAUUGUUAUUGCUGACAAACUUGGCCUCACGUCCACCUCCCUCAUCCUACCCACAAUAUCAAGUGCCUCGUAAACCAUCUGCACAUUCAAAAAACCCCGCAUAAGAGUAUUGAGGACUGAGAAAUCCGACUCAUAUUCAUAGUGAUUGGCCCACAUAAACUCCACCAACUCUGUACUCCUGCUAGCCCCGAUUCUCACAAUAACCCAAGAAAUUACAUCUUGUGCGAGGAGCUGAAGAUUCUCGGCAGCCAAGACAUGCGCGGCGAUGCAACAUGACUUAACUGUAGUAUCGGAGUCGUUUUGAAAUGCGAAUUUGAAAAAUGCAAAUGCAGAAUGACGGGAUUUGAAUAGUUUCAUGAUAUUCACUAGCAAAUAAGGGCAAAAUUUAAGGGAAAAUCCCUUCAAAAUGUAUCCUUUCCGUUGUUUGAUUAGUUUAGAUAAUCCGACAACUAUUAAUCGACGGUCAUUCGAAUUUAAAGAGCUCAAAUAAUCAUAAUUGGGAAAAUUAAAAGGAGAAAACUGAUAAAAAAAAUCGAAGGUUUUAAAAUUGGACGAGUGAGAGGAAUAAGAAUUGGAUGGAGAGAAAUGAAGGUUUAGGGUUUUAGGGACGUAAAUGACAUUGAAAAGGGAAAAAGCCUGUGAGUGGGUAAGGAAAUGGAAAGAAUAUUGUACCUUGAGGGAAUUACCCAGACGGAACACUUUAGCAGACAUCCGGCGCCGCUGGAGAGUGGCUGAAGAAUUUUGCGUUUGGAGGGAAGAGUCAGCAGCGGCGCAUUGUCUCAUGAAGAGAGAGCUGUAGAUGGUGGCAAGGGAUUGGACCAGAGUGAUU
rnacentral:misc_RNA from 1 species